rnacentral:rRNA from 1 species
AGAGUUUGAUCCUGGCUCAGGACGAACGCUGGCGGCGUGCUUAACACAUGCAAGUCGAACGAUGAAGCCGGAGCUUGCUCCGGUGGAUUAGUGGCGAACGGGUGAGUAACACGUGAGUAACCUGCCCUUGACUCUGGGAUAAGCGUUGGAAACGACGUCUAAUACCGGAUACGAGCUUCAGCCGCAUGGCUAGGAGCUGGAAAGAAUUUCGGUCAAGGAUGGACUCGCGGCCUAUCAGGUAGUUGGUGAGGUAACGGCUCACCAAGCCGACGACGGGUAGCCGGCCUGAGAGGGUGACCGGCCACACUGGGACUGAGACACGGCCCAGACUCCUACGGGAGGCAGCAGUGGGGAAUAUUGCACAAUGGGCGCAAGCCUGAUGCAGCAACGCCGCGUGAGGGAUGACGGCCUUCGGGUUGUAAACCUCUUUUAGUAGGGAAGAAGCGAAAGUGACGGUACCUGCAGAAAAAGCACCGGCUAACUACGUGCCAGCAGCCGCGGUAAUACGUAGGGUGCAAGCGUUGUCCGGAAUUAUUGGGCGUAAAGAGCUCGUAGGCGGUUUGUCGCGUCUGCUGUGAAAACUGGAGGCUCAACCUCCAGCCUGCAGUGGGUACGGGCAAACUAGAGUGCGGUAGGGGAGAUUGGAAUUCCUGGUGUAGCGGUGGAAUGCGCAGAUAUCAGGAGGAACACCGAUGGCGAAGGCAGAUCUCUGGGCCGUAACUGACGCUGAGGAGCGAAAGCAUGGGGAGCGAACAGGAUUAGAUACCCUGGUAGUCCAUGCCGUAAACGUUGGGAACUAGAUGUGGGGUCCAUUCCACGGAUUCCGUGUCGCAGCUAACGCAUUAAGUUCCCCGCCUGGGGAGUACGGCCGCAAGGCUAAAACUCAAAGGAAUUGACGGGGGCCCGCACAAGCGGCGGAGCAUGCGGAUUAAUUCGAUGCAACGCGAAGAACCUUACCAAGGCUUGACAUAUACGAGAACGCUGCAGAAAUGUAGAACUCUUUGGACACUCGUAUACAGGUGGUGCAUGGUUGUCGUCAGCUCGUGUCGUGAGAUGUUGGGUUAAGUCCCGCAACG